rnacentral:rRNA from 1 species
UACAGAGGUCUCAAGCGUUGUUCGGAUUCAUUGGGCGUAAAGGGCGCGUAGGCGGUGCGGUAAGUCUUUUGUGAAAUCUCCGGGCUCAACUCGGAGUCUGCAGGAGAAACUGCCGUGCUGGAGUAUGGGAGAGGUGAGUGGAAUUCCCGGUGUAGCGGUGAAAUGCGUAGAUAGUCGGGAGGAACACCUGUGGCGAAAGCGGCUCACUGGACCUUACUGACGCUGAGGCGAGAAAG